AAAAGAAAAUAAAAAAGGAAAACAGAUCAUGCAUUUUAUGACUGUUGUAUGUCUCUUGUUUUUGGUCUUUGUU
rnacentral:ribozyme from 1 species